rnacentral:tRNA from 1 species
UGUGUGUAAUUUAAAUAAAAUAUCAAGCUGUGACCUUGAAAAUAGACACCCUCACACACC